rnacentral:lncRNA from 1 species
AUGUGUGUUCUACUCAUGGAGAACUAUACACAUAUUUUAGUGUGCUGCCAAUCUCUAGCAUCUUUGGAAGUUACAUCUAUCAGCGUGGAAUUCUCACCUGAGGCCUGCUCGUUCAACAAACAUCGUCUGAGGGCCUGCUAUGUGACUGGAAAUGUGCUAAGCAUUAGGUUGCUCUGCUCACAGGAGGACAUUAGGAGGAGAGUGGAUCACUUAAUCUUUCAUCAAGGCCACAUUGGUGUUAUUUCAUCCAUUUUGGUGGGCAUUGAGAUAACAUGGCUGUAGCUGUAUGGGCCUCCUCUGUACCCUGGAGCAGGUAUGGACUUCAACAUUGAAAUUGGUAGAGCUCACAAAUACACACUUUAACGAAAGUUUCUCUAGUCACACACACUGGAGUAAGUACUGUCCUAGAAUUCCCAGGUGGGUCUCCCUCUUUCCUCGAUGAAACACCUGAUCCUGUUUGAACAAGGUUGCUGAUUGUCUAGUAUCUCACAUAGGGUGAUCUUUCCAUGUUUUCUGCCUUCCAGAACUUGUGACCCAUAAAUGGUUGAUAAAUGAGGAAAAUGACUUGAAUCAGGGAAACUAAUAAGACUAGGUAUCCUGCUGGCUGUCAUUCAAUCUUUGACAUACAAAAGACCUACCCAGAAGACUCUGCAGGGGCAAUAGCAUCACUCUGAAGAUCAUGGUGCUCUAUCAAGAAGUGUGUUGCCAAUUUAAGCCAAACAAGUGUCCACUGAGAAUCACCACAGGCUCAGCCUUCCCACUGUGGUGAUCUGAGAAGACAGGCACUGUGUGUAGCAGAACUUAAUGUUCAGAGGGAUAGAAGGGAGACAAAGCAGCCGCAUGUGCAUUGUACUUCAUUCUUCUUUCUGGUGGUCUUGCAAAGAGCCUCUCCUCUCCUGGUAGCUGCUAUAAUUAGUAUCCUAUUAUCUUGUCACUGUUCAAAUUUGAUUUGCUAAAUCAUUCUGAACUUCCCUGGCAGGCUGCUGGUGCAAGGUCAGAAAAUAACAUUUCAUACUUAUUUUAGGCCAGCUUCCCUAGAAGCAGGGUCUGAGAUGGGGAUUUAAAUGCAUGUGAUUUGUUGGAAGAGUGCUCUUAGGAGAAGGGCGGAAAGUAGGAUAGGACAGGAGAAGAAACUCAGCAAAGAUGUGGUUCAGCUGAGGUUUCAUCUCGGUCGGAUCCUACAGGAAGCUAUAGAGAAUGAAGGGCACCAGAGACCAAGUCGUACCCUGAGGCAAAGAGGCUGGUCCUUUGAACCCUCUUACCAAUCAGCUACAGAUUAUCCCCAGAAAUUUAGUGUAACCCCAUACCUCCCAUAUAUUUCUCGGUGAGACAACUCCUCUAGACCAAGGUCGCAGUAGAAGGAGGAAAGCAGUUAUCUGGAAGCAAACAAUACUCACAGCAACAGGGGACGGGACUCCUCAGAUGAAGUGUAUCUUGACAAUACUUACCAGCAAUUGUUUAGUUAUUUUAGGCAAAAAAGGAAACUUUUCCAAUUUUAGAUAUUAAUUUUUUUAAAAUUUCAUUACCCUUCACUGCUUCAAGUUCAGUAUAACUAUUAACUCAUUUAAUCCCCAUGACAGCCCAGGAAUGUAUGUGCUAUUGUUGUUUUCAUUUUACUGAUAAAAAACUAGAAGCACUAAAAACCUUGGAUAGUUGCAUAAUUACACAGCAGAGGUAGACAUGAGAUGGGGCAGUCUGGCUCCAGAUUCUUUAUUCUUAGCUAUGAGGUAUCAACCGAAUGACUGCCAUUCUGAGAGUAGGCAUGGCAUCAUAUACCCUCACUCAAUGUUUGACACAUUGUAGGUGCCCAUUUUAUGUUGCCUAAAUGAAACCAAAUGAAACAAAUGGACAAAGAAACAAUCUUGGAUAAAAUAUGGACCCCAAAGAUCUUGUAUAGGUUAGCUUUUGUUGCACAUUAAAGAGUCUUAAAACUUAGUAACUUAAAACAACAAAUAUUAACUAACUUUCAGUUCUGUGGAUUAGCAAUUUGGGCUAGAAACAUCUGGGUAGUUCUCUUGUUCUUUACGGGCUCAGGCCUGCAUUUCACGGUCAGCUGCCAGUUCUUUCUAGGCGGCUCUACCUCUUUGAUUAGUUGUCUAAAAGCUGGAGUAAUGGGAGCAAGUGGGCCAUGUGACUAUGAUUAUCUGACCAGUUAUCUUGGGCUUGUCCACCUAGUAUCACGGCAAGAUUCCAAUAAGGAGAAUUCAAGCAUGCAAGAGGGCUUGAAGCCUACAAUAAGUAUCAUACCAUCACUUUUGUUUCAUUCAACUGGCCCAAAUCAGUCACAUGACAACUUCAGAUUCAAAGAAUGAAAUAGACUUCAUAUUUUGGUGGGAGAAGUUACUGAAUCAUAUUGCAAAAAGACAAGGAAACAGGGAGGGGAAUAAUUCGUAACCAUUUUUGGCUUUUACCACAGAAUCUUUCUGCAUCUGUUAGUUAUAUAUAAAAAUGCCAUAUAAACCCUUCCUUCAUAUUUAGUGCUUUCUUUUACAUGUAAAAUGUGGAUAAUAUUAGGUUGGAAAACUUAGAAACCAAAUUACUACUGUUAAUUGGUUAAAAAAAUCAGAGUGCCUUCUGAAACAACAAGCUUGCCUCUUGAUGCUUUUUAUCUUUUUUGCCUCUUGAUGUUUUUUAUCUUUUUUGCCUCUGAAAAUAUUGUAAAAAUAUCUCAUUAGCAGUCCUCGAGCCCUAUUUGUAUAUCUCUAUUUUAAACAAAGUUAAAAUAGAAUAAAAUGUUGGAGCUCCCACCCGCCCAAUCUAGUACCCAGUUUUACUCUCCAGAGUGACCAACCACAAGAGUCAUCUGCAUGUAUUUCCUAACGUGAUCUCCCUGGACGGGAGCAUAUUGUUACACUGUCCUCUUUCUCACUUAGCACUCUGUCUUGGAGAGAUUUUCAUAUCAGCAAAAACAGUUUUACUUCAUUUUAAGAAACCAUAUAGUGGUCCCUCCAAAGUCUAGAAAUAUACCAUAAUUUACUUACUUCUUUGUAGAUGAUUAUUUUUAUUGCUCCCAAAUUUUUGUUUCUACAGCCAGUGAUGGGGAAUAAAUUUUUAUUCAUAUUUCAUUGGAUUCUUUAUGGGAGAAAAUCUAGGAGAACUCUAGAAGUGGAAUUUAUGUUUUAAACAUGACUUUUAAAAAAUCUGAAAGAUACUGCUAAAUGAACUGCAAUGAGGGUGUGCCAAGCCUACCAAUUUUAGAUUCCUGUAAACAAUGCAUGACAGUAGGAUUUCUCCACAUGCUCAUAUAGUACAUAUUGGCAAAUAUUUACAUUUUAUCACUGUUCAACUCUUGCCAUUUUGAGAGGUGAGUAUGGUUACAUGGUUAUUUAAUUUGCAUGUUUUUAAAAUAAAUGAGGUUUUAUGCAAUUCCAUAAAUUUAUAGACUAUUUAAAUUUAAUUUUGUUAAAUGCCUGUUUAUAUUUUUCACUUAUCUUAAUAUCGUGUUAUUGAUAUUGCAAGGAAAACAUUAUAUAAAUGUUUUACAUAAUAAAGAAAAUUAAGUAUUUUGUGUAUGGCAAAUAUUGCUUCUGUUUUUUCAUCUACUUUAUUGAGAGAUACAAUACUCACACAGGAAAAUGAACUCAUCUAAAGUACAAAGUUCAAACGAUUUUGGCAAAUAUGUGCAGCAAUGUAAUCAUAACCCAAAUAAAGAUAUUCUUGGCUUAUUUUUUGUCUACAAUCCACUUCAAGUUAAUAUUUGUGUAUGAUGAUAGUCAAGUAUUUUUUCUAUACAAAUAUACAAUUGUUCCAACAUCAUCAGUUUAAAAGAGUUUUUUCCCAUUAAGUUGUCUAGAAUAUUUCUAGUAGUCCAGAAAUUUCCUCCUGUCUUUUCUAGUCAAUCACUUACACUUCUACAGAAGCAGCCACUAUUCUGACAUCUAAGUAUGUAUACUCUUUCGCAUGUGGCUUCUAACAUAUAUGUAACAUUUUCAACUAUAGCAUUUCUUUCAUCAGUAGCUUGUUGCUUCUUGUUUUGAAGUUGUUUUAGUAUACUCUCUUUCUACAGUUUGCCUGUUCACCUGUUGAUGGACAUAUGAAACAUUCUGUAUUUUGUAGUAUUAUGAAUUAAGUUGCUAUGAAUAUUCCUAUGCAUACAUUUAUUUCUCCUGAAUAUCUACCUAAAAGUGGAAUAACUAAGACAUGGAGUAGAUAUAUUUUUAAUUUUAUUUGGAUUGUCAAACUAAUUCUCAAAGUGAUUAUACCACUUUAUACUUUCACUAGCAAUGUAUGCAUAUUUCCAGGUUCUCUACAUGUCAACACUGAUGAAUGUCAGUCUUUAUGUUAUUUUGACAUGUGUGUAUAGUAUAUCUCCUGUGAUAUUAUUUUGCAUUUCUUUGAUAAUUAAUGAUAUUGAUCAUUUUCUCAUGUGAUUGGUGGCCUUUUAUCCAUCUAUUGUGUAGUAUCUGUCCAAAUGUUUCACCUCUUUUAGUUGGGUUCACUUUAUGUUAGUAUUGAUUUGUAGAAAUUCUUCGUUCAGGAUAUGAGUUUUUUUGUUACAUAUAUAUUGCACAUAUUGCCAAAGUCUAUGAUUUGCCUUUCCAUUUUUAUAGUGGUGUUGUUUUUGAUUAGCAUGUGAUUUUAAUUUUGAUAAAAUCUUAUUUGUGAAUUUGCUUUUUUUUAGGUUAGUGCUUUUUUUAAUAACUUUAUAGUAAAUCUUUGCUUACUUUUGUCUAUGAGCUAUUUCAAAUUAAUAUUUGUGUAUGAUAAUGGUCAAGUUUUUUUCUAUGUGAAUAUGCAUAGAAUAUUCUAUGCAUGUGAAUAUGUAUAGAAUAGAUGAUGUUCCAACAUUAUAUUUUUUCCCACUAUGCUGCUAGAUAUCUGAGUUCCAUCUCUGAGCUUUCUAUUUUAUUCCACUUUAUACUUGUCUAUCUUUACACCACAAUCACACUGUAUAAAUUACUGUCAAUCUUUAGGAAGUCUUAAAAUCGUGUAGUCUAAUUCUUGAUUUUAUUCUUCACAAUUAUUUCAGUAUUCUAGAUCUUUUACAUUUCCAUAUUUAUUUAAAAUCAG